GAUGAACGCUAGCGGCAGGCUUAACACAUGCAAGUCGAGGGGCAGCAUGACACGGAGAUUCGUCGAAGUGUUGAUGGCGACCGGCGCAAGGGUGCGUAACGCGUGAGCAACUUGCCCGUUUCUGGGGAAUAACCGGUGGAAACGCCGACUAAUACCCCAUGGUAUUGAUCAGAGGCAUCUUUGGUCAAUUAAAGAAUUUCGGAAACGGAUAGGCUCGCGUGACAUUAGCUAGAUGGCGGGGUAACGGCCCACCAUGGCGACGAUGUCUAGGGGUUCUGAGAGGAAGGUCCCCCACACUGGAACUGAGACACGGUCCAGACUCCUACGGGAGGCAGCAGUGAGGAAUAUUGGUCAAUGGCCGGGAGGCUGAACCAGCCAAGUAGCGUGAAGGAUGAAGGUUCUAUGGAUUGUAAACUUCUUUUAUACGGGAAUAAAACCUCCCACGUGUGGGAGCUUGUAUGUACCGUAUGAAUAAGCAUCGGCUAACUCCGUGCCAGCAGCC
rnacentral:rRNA from 1 species